rnacentral:rRNA from 1 species
CCCUUAGAGUUUGAUCCUGGCUCAGGAUGAACGCUAGCUACAGGCUUAACACAUGCAAGUCGAGGGGCAGCAUGAACUUAGCUUGCUAAGUUUGAUGGCGACCGGCGCACGGGUGAGUAACACGUAUCCAACCUGCCGAUGACUCGGGGAUAGCCUUUCGAAAGAAAGAUUAAUACCCGAUGGCAUAGUUCUUCCGCAUGGUAGAACUAUUAAAGAAUUUCGGUCAUCGAUGGGGAUGCGUUCCAUUAGGUUGUUGGCGGGGUAACGGCCCACCAAGCCUUCGAUGGAUAGGGGUUCUGAGAGGAAGGUCCCCCACAUUGGAACUGAGACACGGUCCAAACUCCUACGGGAGGCAGCAGUGAGGAAUAUUGGUCAAUGGACGAGAGUCUGAACCAGCCAAGUAGCGUGAAGGAUGACUGCCCUAUGGGUUGUAAACUUCUUUUAUACGGGAAUAAAGUGAGGCACGUGUGCU